GUCAUACUCCCUCCGUCCGAAAAUACUUAUCGUAGAAAUGGAUACAAAUGGAUGUAUUUAGAACUAAAAUACAUCUAGAUACAUCCAUUCUUUGGACAAGUAUUUCCGGACGGAGGGAGUACCAU
rnacentral:pre_miRNA from 1 species